GGGGCCGGGGGCCAGAAGGGAAAGGCACAUUCAGUCUGGGAAGCCUGGAAUGGAGUUGCAGGCCGAGCUCUGAGACCUGAAGCUUCAUGUUCCCACACAGGGAAGAGCAAACGGAAGUAAAGCACAGGAUAAUCUUGCCAGCAAAUGAGGCAGAUGGGUCAGCACAAAGGGUCUGACUGGAUUGUAGCAGAUAGCGCCUCUGACAGGUGCCGGGUGAACCCACUCAGCUGUCCAGCUGCCAGGGACCAUGUGAAAUUGGGAACAAGUCCCGCUGUCUUUGCCCCAUCUCUUUUACUUGUCAACUGAAAACCAAGCAGUUCCUCUGUGUUGCUUGUUGGUGUUGAGAACCACAUUUUCAGUGGAGGUUGGUGAAUAAAUCUUUCAUGAAUAUGGAAUUUUCCAGUUUUUAAAGUGUUAGUUUGAACUGAGUGCAAUGACCAAUACUAUUCUGCUUUGGACUUAGGAAAACAGCAAGUUUAUAUGCUGCAAUCACCAAACUACACACAGUCACAGAUACAUGCACGCACAUAGACACACACUGCUGUGUGCAGACAGACUUGUGUCACCAGGGGCUAGCAAUUGGGCUUGGCAUGGCCGAUCCUGUCACAGACAUUAGCUGUGGCUGACCUGGUGACAGAACACCUUCUGGCACUUUUCUCAGGAUUGUAAGUCAAACUGAGCACACUUCCACAGUCUGCUGCUUGUUUAGUGCCCUCUGGAGAAUCUGCUCUACUUCUGGUUUCUCCAGAAGACCCCAGCCCUUGGGGGAAGGUUCCCCUCGGCCCCCCAGGAAGUCAGGACAGAGUCCUGCUGGGGUCAAGUUUUCUUCAUUGCAAAACCCAAAUUAGUUUUGUAAACAUCAGCCCCAGCCUGAAUUAUUUUGUGUAUUGCUAUCAUUAACUUAUUUAUUAACUUGUCCCUGGGAGUCACUUAAGUGAUUACUUAACUGACCCAGUUACUCUGGGAUUCAGUGCUUUUCAACAAUUGUCCCGUUCUAUGACCCUGUGACCUCUGAUGUGUCCUUGGUGGUACGAAGUAGGAUAGGAAGAGGCUAGAUGGUCUCUGAGGGUGGGGACACGAUUUGGAAGCUGCAUCCAGGAAGGCGAAGCAGGGUUGGAGCCCAGGCCAGUGAAAACUGAAGGAGGAGACUGAUCACAGAAGGAUUUGGCAAAGCCUGGAAGCCAGGGUGGGAGAGUGUUCGGCUUAUUCACGAGGACAGCACCCUGAAGGAUGGAGUGAUUUGUUUUUCUCUUUGUUUUACCCUGGCUCCUCCAUUUGCGAGCUGUGUGUCCUCAGGAAAGUUUCCCAGCUUUUCUGAGCUUCAGUUUCCUCGUCCAUAAGUGGAGAGAGUGAUUCCUAUUCCUGGGGUGGCCAUAAACAUCUGAUGAAGAAAGGUUUAUAGCAGAGUGAAAUGUUCCUGGAGUUGGCUGCCAUGUGAUAAGCUACUGACUGAAUGCAGAAGCCAGUCAUCAGAGAGGGAAGGUUGGGCAGGUGGACUGACAUCACACAGACACUGCAGAACUCAUCUGCUUUCUCUGCAAGAUAUCUUGACUCAGCGCUCAUCAGAGGACACCUUUCCAUGGGGCACCAUAAUGUGAAGACCUUGGGAAGCUUCAUGGGAGUGGCUGGUGCUCCUUUGGUCCACCCAGUCUCCAUUUCUCAUUCCUAACAGCACCCCAGUAUCCUCUGGGACAAUUUUCUCUUCCCCAGUGGCUUUAGUUUGUAAACAAGAGGUGGACGUAUGAUCCAGAACAGCCAAGUGGAUGCUUCUUUCUUGGAAUUGGAAUCCUGAGCAAAGCAGCAAAGGCUGCAUAUUUCUGAUGUCAUGAAAUCCAUUGGUGACCUCUUGAUCUGCCAAUCCUGCCAUAAGACCAUUCCUAGACUUCCUGCUUCCAGAGCUGCUUAUGUCUCUAGCAGUGUCCAAGCCUGGGUCGCAGCUUCUGGUUGAUUCUGAGAGUCUCUGUCUCCUUUCAUCAUAGCUCCUUUUGCUUAAGUUAGGCAAAAUCAGGUUUUACUGUUUGCAACCAGAGAUCUACAAAUAUUGAACAAUUUUCUGGGACACUUCUUAAAUGUGAGCUCGUGGUGAGAACAUUGGU